rnacentral:rRNA from 1 species
UCUACGGGAGGCAGCAGUGGGGAAUUUUGGACAAUGGGCGCAAGCCUGAUCCAGCCAUGCCGCGUGAGUGAAGAAGGCCUUCGGGUUGUAAAGCUCUUUCGGCCGGGACGAAAUCGCUCUCGCUAACACCGGGAGUGGAUGACGGUACCGGAUGAAGAAGCACCGGCUAACUACGUGCCAGCAGCCGCGGUAAUACGUAGGGUGCGAGCGUUAAUCGGAAUUACUGGGCGUAAAGCGUGCGCAGGCGGUUUCGCAAGUCAGAUGUGAAAGCCCCGGGCUUAACCUGGGAACUGCGUUUGAAACUACGAAGCUAGAGUACGGCAGAGGGAGGUGGAAUUCCAAGUGUAGCAGUGAAAUGCGUAGAUAUUUGGAGGAACACCGAUGGCGAAGGCAGCCUCCUGGGCUAGUACUGACGCUCAUGCACGAAAGCGUGGGGAGCAAACAGGAUUAGAUACCCUGGUAGUCCACGCCCUAAACGAUGGCAACUAGUUGUUGGGGAUUAACAUCCUUAGUAACGCAGCUAACGCGUGAAGUUGCCCGCCUGGGGAGUACGGUCGCAAGAUUAAAACUCAAAGGAAUUGACGGA